rnacentral:rRNA from 1 species
CACGUAGGGGGCGAGCGUUGUCCGGAUUUAUUGGGCGCAAAGAGCUCGUAGGCGGCUCAGUAAGUCGGGUGUGAAACCCCCGGGCUCAACCCGGGGACGCCACCUGAUACUGCUGUGGCUUGAGCCCGGUAGGGGAGCGUGGAAUUCCUGGUGUAGCGGUGAAAUGCGCAGAUAUCAGGAGGAACACCAGCGGCGAAGGCGGCGCUCUGGACCGGUACUGACGCUGAGGAGCGAAAGCGUGGGGAGCAAACAGG